rnacentral:rRNA from 1 species
UACGGGGGGGGCAAGCGUUGUUCGGAAUUACUGGGCGUAAAGGGCUCGUAGGCGGCCAACUAAGUCGGAUGUGAAAUCCCCAGGCUUAACCGGGGAACUGCGUCUGAUACUGGAUGGCUUGAGUUUGGGAGAGGGAUGCGGAAUUCCAGGUGUAGCGGUGAAAUGCGUAGAUAUCUGGAGGAACACCGGUGGCGAAGGCGGCAUCCUGGACCGGCAUUGACGCUGAGGCGCGAAAGCUAGGGGAGCAAACGGG